CCGGGCUGGCCUCAGUCUGCAGGGUUCUCCUGCCUCGGUCUCCCAAGUGCUGGGAUUACAGGUGUCAGCCGCCCUGCCAGGCCUGCCAGGUGGCCUGAGCCCUUGAUGCGCAGCCUCCUUAGAUUCUGAGCUCACCGUCCCGUUACGCCAGUGUUGGCUAUCGCGGUCGCGGAAAGUAAAGGGUUCCAUAUGGAUGUCGUCUGAGCCCCUCCGUCUCCGAGCGUCACACACUGCUGUGGGCCUCGUGUCCAGGUCCAGGGCUGUGAAGGACGUCAGGAACCCCUGCCGUUGAAGCUCUGCCUCAUAAAUCAGCUGAUGCCUCUCCCUGAUGCGUCCCGAAAUGCUUUCCUGCAAUGACACCUGAAGCACCUGCUGGGCCAUGCUGAGCUGCCCAUCUCCUCUCUAGGAGGGCCAUCUCAGACCUCAUCUGGUGACAGUGCUUUUGUCUCUGAGCUGGACCCCAAGCCCACCUGGCUCUUGAGAAACGCUCACAAGGGUGCCAGUUCCUUGCUGGGGUCCCUGGGGUACUGUUAUGACUUGUGUCUAGACGUCCCCCUAGAGGCUUGUGUGGUUAUGGGUGGGGCCUCUUCAGAGGUGGCUGGAUCUAGUGUGUGAUUGACUUAUAGUGCAAAGCUAGGACUGAGGGUGCUGGGAUUAGGAUGGG